rnacentral:rRNA from 1 species
AUUGAACGCUGGCGGCAGGCCUAACACAUGCAAGUCGAACGAGUGGCGGACGGGUUAGUUAUGUCUGUGCACCUGCCCGAUGGAGGGGGAUAACUACUGGAAACGGUAGCUAAUACCGCAUACCAUCGGAUGUGCCUCGUUGGGAUUAGCUAGUAGGUGGGGUAAUGGCUCACCUAGGCGACGAUCCCUAGCUGGUCUGAGAGGAUGACCAGCCACACUGGAACUGAGACACGGUCCAGACUCCUACGGGAGGCAGCAGUGGGGAAUAUUGCACAAUGGGCGCAAGCCUGAUGCAGCCAUGCCGCGUGUAUGAAGAAGGCCUUCGGAUUGUAAAGUACUUUCAGUGAGGAGGCGUUACUCGCAGAAGAAGCACCGGCUAACUACGUGCCAGCAGCCGCGGUAAUUC